UACAGAUACAAUUGCAAGGAGAGCCUGUCGGCUCAAGUGUCGUCCCUUUGAUUUACAGUUGCAAUAGCAGGAGCUGCAUGAAUUUCAAAUGAUGUGAUCAUAUCCUACCAAUUCCUUGGGCUCCAGCGAGAGUGAACCCUGGGUAGAUCAUUUGCGGUGUCUUACAAUGAUGAACACACCAGGUUGUAAGAGAUGUGGAGUGUCACGCUAAGGGCUUCUGACCUGUCAUCCUGCCCUCAAUCAACCAUAAUCACCUCUACCAUGGUAUCCCCUAAGACUUCUCUUCCUUACAAUGAUUUUAUGAAGAAAAUUGUCCUUUCAAGUAAUUGGUUUCCAAAGAUAGUCCAGAGAAGGAAGAGGAAUUGUGCUAAAUGCUGGGGGCAAAAAUACAAGCAAAAAAAGAAAGAAAAGACCAACCUUCCAGGAGCUUACAUUCCAGCAGAGAAGAAUAACACAAAAGGGAAUUGA
rnacentral:lncRNA from 1 species